rnacentral:tRNA from 1 species
GGAGGGGAGAGCUUAAUGGUAGAGCGCACGUUUAGCAUGAAAUCCUGGGUUCAAUCCCCAGUACCUCCG